AUGUCCGGGCUCCCCUUCGACAGCGGCGAGUACUUCGCGUCCGUCGGCGUGGGCACCCCGUCCACCAGCGAGCUGCUGGUCAUCGACACCGGGAGCGACCUCAUCUGGCUCCAGUGCAAACCCUGCCGCCGCUGCCACCGCCAGAUGAGCCCGCUCUACGACCCCAAGGGCUCCAGCACCUACCGCCAGAUCCCCUGCUCGUCGCCGCGGUGCUUCCCUCGCCAUGGCUGCGACACCAGCACCGGGGCCUGCGGGUACGCCAUGGUCUACGGCGACGGCUCCGGCAGCAGGGGCAACCUCGCCACCGACAGGCUCGUCUUCUCCAACGACACGUCCGUGGACAGCGUCGUCAUCGGGUGCGGCCACGACAACGCGGAGCUGUUCGACUCGUCGGCCGGGGUGCUGGGCGUCGGCCGCGGCGCCGGCUCCCUGGCGACGCAGGUGGCGCCGACCUACGGGCGCUACUUCGCCUACUGCCUCGGCGACCGCACGUCCGUCGCGCGGAGCAGCGCCUCGUACCUCGCCUUCGGCCGCACGCCGGAGCCGCCGUCCACGGCCUUCACCCCGCUGCUGUCCAACCCGCGGCGCCCCAACCUGUACUACGUGAACAUGGCCGGCUUCAGCGUCGGCGGCGAGCGUGUCGCCGGCGGGUUCUGCAGCUCCAGCCUCUGGCUCGACCCGGCGACCGGGCGGGGCGGCGUGGUGGUGGACUCGGGCACGUCCAUAUCGCGGCUCCCCAGGGAUGUGUACGCGGCGCUGCGCGACGCCUUCGACGCGCGCGCGGCCGCGGCCGGGAUGCGGAGGCUGGCGCGGGGCAUCUCGGUGUUCGACGCGUGCUACGAGCUCCGAGGCGCCAGCGUGCCGGCGGUGGUGCUGCACUUCGCUGGCGGCGCGGACGUAGCGCUGCCCCCGGAGAACUACUUCAUACCCGAGCAGGGCGGGAAGUACCACUGCCUGGCGCUGGAGGCGACGGACGACGGGCUCACCGUGCUCGGCAACGUCCUGCAGCAGGGAUUCCGGGUCGUGUUCGAUGUCGAGAAAGAACGUGUCGGGUUCGCGCCAAAUGGCUGCUAA
rnacentral:rRNA from 1 species